ACACUCAAGACUAACAGACAAAAGCGGGAAAAAACCCAGAGAGAAAAGGAGGGAGAAUUCUUGCUUUGAUUCCGAUCCGUUUCUCAUCUGCAAUGCUUGUUGCUGCUCUAUAAGUAGUCUUUCUUCGCUUUUUGUGAUUUGAAUUCUGUUGAAUUUUGGUGUUUUUGAUGGUCUUCCGGAGUUCAGUCUUUUGUGAGAUUGAUUGAAGUGGAGGAUUUCUGAUUUCGUUGAUUUUUCAUUGUUUUUUGAUUGAUUUGGUCUCAAGUUGAGUGAAUGUUUGGGAUUGUGUGGUUGUUUGUUUAUUGGAUUGGAGAAAGAUCAGAUCUUGAAGCAAAGGACUCUGUUUUAGGCUUUGAAUUUUCAUCUGUAGCGUCUGGUGUGAGCUAAAAGCUCUGGCCCUCUCGUGGAGUUCAAUCUUUAAUGAGAUUGAUGGAUAAUAGGGUUUUAAGUAGUUCUUUGGUUAUUGGUUUUGGGAAAGAUUAGAUCUUGAAGUGCAAACUCUAUUCAACGAGGUAAGAGGUAAAUGGCAAGAUGUGAUUUGAGUUUCUUCUUAUUGAUUUCAGAGCUUGAGAGAUGCAAGUUUGAUUGUUUAGAUUGAUGGAUUUGACUGAUGGAUCGCAAAGGGCCUCGAGUUCGGCUCCCCCAUUCCUUACUAAGACUUAUGACAUGGUGGAUGAUCCGAUGACAAGUAGAACUGUCUCUUGGAGCUCUAGUGGCUGCAGUUUCAUUGUUUGGCACCAGCUGGAUUUUGCAAGGGAUCUUCUUCCUAAGUACUUCAAGCACAAUAACUUCUCCAGCUUUGUUAGGCAGCUUAACACUUAUGGUUUUCAAAAAAUAGAUCCUGACCAGUGGGAAUUUUCAAAUGAGUUUAUAAAAGGAAAAAGGCACCUACUGAAAAAUAUUCAUAGGCGCAAGGCAAUACAUAGCCGAUCACAUCAAGGGAGUUCUUCAGGGAAAUUAUCAGAAGCAGAAAAACAAGAACUUGAGGAAGAGAUAGAGAGUCUGAAUCAUGAUAAAGCCAUGCUUACUCUGGAGCUGCAAAGGCACACUCAACAACAGCAAGGACUAGAGCAGCAAAUGGAGAAUUUGGAGGGGAGAUUGCAGAAGCUGGACCUAUGUCAAAGAGAUAUCAUGGAUUUCUUGAACGAGGUUGUUCAGAGGCCUGGCUUUCUUUCUAGCCUUGUUCAUCAUCUUGAUCUUUACAUCAAGAAGAGGAGGUUGCCAAAAAGCAAUUAUUGCUCUGAGGGUACUGAUAUGCAAGAAAACCAUAUCAUGGACUUUCAGUCCAUUUGUAUAGAAAAGUCUAGUCCUGCAUUGUUACAAGUUUCAGACCUUUCACCAUAUGAGAAGAUGGAGUCUUCCUUGAAUUCAUUGGAGAAUUUUCUCCAUGGACUUAGUGAAGCUUCUGGUGGAGGUAUUGAGUAUGAUGGUACUACACCUUGCCUUCCAUCUUCUAUGGUUAUUACAGAAAUGCAUACUUCUUGUGCGGAUACAGAUAUGAAUUUACAAUCACCAACUCCAAAUUUGAAUCUUGCAUCACCUUGUUUGGAAGUUAUUUAUUCUUCUACCCCAGAGUUGGAAGAAUCAACAAAUAAUGUUGAAGGCCCAGGGAUUCAUCCUAUAGAGAUCCAAACAGAUGCAAGGACUAAGUUCCCUAGGAUAGAUGUUAAUUCUGACCCUGCUGCUCCUGAGGUUCAGUCAUCAGGAUAUCAAACAACUACGGCCCCUAUCACAAUAGCGCCCACAGGGGUAAAUGAUGUAUUCUGGCAGCAGUUUCUCACAGAAACUAUUGGUUCAGUAGACUUGCAAGAGGUCCAGUCAGAAAGACGAAACAAAGAUGAAAACAGAGGUGAGGGUAGAAUGGACAAGCAGGCAGUUGUUUGGUGGAACAAAAAGAAUGUUGAUAACCUUGCAGAGCGAAUGGGUAGUCUAAAUCCUGUCGAGAGGUCAUAAUAGUUAGUUGUUUGCUUUAUCAUCCUCUAAUAGUUGAAAUGAUACCUCUAUGCAGCAUGGCUGUGAGGUACCAAGUUCCGUCCUCGUAAUCCUUAUGUAUUGGAGCACAUUAACAUUUCCAUAGCUAACCCAGAUUUCUAGACACAAGAGGACAUAAGAGAACUGGGAGAACCAUAUGGUGAUCAAUCUGGUUAUACUUUGGCUAAUAACUAUAUGAAUGAAAGCAAUACAAAAAGUUAAAGCAAAUUGCAUUACUGCAUUUUUCAAUUGCAAGGAUUUAGAUUCUAAAUCAGUGAGUGCUACAGGUAUGAAGAAAAACCAAUCUCAGCAAUUCAAUAUUCAGAAAUGCAUGCAGUUAUAAUUUAUUUUUUAAAACAGAGGGAA